rnacentral:rRNA from 1 species
UUCGGGCGUCAGUGGCGGACGGCUGAGUAACACGUGGGUGACCUGCCCUCGAGCGGGGGAUAACUGCCCGAAAGGGUGGCUAAUACCGCAGACAUCCAUCAUUCGGUUGGUGGAUUGAACCGAUACAGGGUUCGAGGAGGGGCCCGCGGCCGAUUAGCUAGCUGGUGGGGUAACGGCCUACCAGGGCGUCGAUCGGUAGCUGGUCUCAGAGGAUGAUCAGCCAGACUGGGACUGCGAGACGGCCCAGACUCCUACGGGAGGCAGCAGUUAGGAAUUUUGGGCAAUGGGCGCAAGCCUGACCCAGCAACGCCGCGUGGGUGAUGACGGCCUUCGGGUUGUAAAGCCCUUUUCCCAGGGAAGAUGGUGACGGUACCUGGGGAAUCAGCCCCGGCUAACUACGUGCCAGCGGCCGCGGUAAUACGUAGGGGGCAAGCGUUGUCCGGAUUUAUUGGGCGUAAAGCGCUCGCAGGCGGUCCGAUGCGUCGUGCGUGAAAGACCCCGGCUCAACUGGGGAGGGUCGUGCGAUACGGUCGGACUCGAGGCCAGUAGGGGGACGCGGAAUUCCGGGUGUAGUGGUGGAAUGCGUAGAGAUCCGGAGGAACACCAGCGGCGAAGGCGGCGUCCUGGACUGGUACUGACGCUCAGGAGCGAAAGCGUGGGGAGCGAUCCGGAUUAGAUACCCGGGUAGUCCACGCCGUAAACGAUGAGUACUAGGUGUCGGGGGUAUCGACCCCCUCGGUGCCGCAGCUAACGCGAUAAGUACUCCGCCUGGGGACUACGGCCGCAAGGCUAAAACUC